AAAAUAAUGCAAAAAAUUUCACAAAAUUUGGAUGCAAAAUGAGUGAGAUAUGAUUUUUACAAGAUCAUGUAACAAAAUGUAAAGAAAAUAAGAAAAAGAAAGUGAAAUAAUAAAUAACUAAAUGCGCCAGUGGCAUUUUUGUAAUACUAAUGCCACUGGCCAAAACAACGACGUUUUGAAAAGAUUACAUGGCGCGCUGUGAAUGGUU
rnacentral:lncRNA from 1 species